AACGAACGCUGGCGGCGUGCCUAACACAUGCAAGUCGAACGUGAAAGGGUUCUUCGGAACCCGAGUAAAGUGGCGCACGGGUGAGUAACGCGUAGAUGAUCUACCCUUUUGUUUGGGAUAACAGAGCGAAAGGCCUGCUAAUACCGAAUACCCUUCAUGUACUGAGGUAUAUGAAGGAAAGGAUGCCUCUGACAUAAGCAUUCGCAGAGGGAUGAGUCUGCGUACCAUUAGCUAGUUGGUGGGGUAAGGGCCUACCAAGGCGACGAUGGUUAACGGGUCUGAGAGGAUGAUCCGUCACACUGGCACUGGAACACGGGCCAGACUCCUACGGGAGGCAGCAGUGAGGAAUAUUGCGCAAUGGGGGAAACCCUGACGCAGCGACGCCGCGUGAGCGAGGAAGGUCUUCGGAUCGUAAAGCUCUGUCAGGUGGGAAGAAGUGUACAGAGUCGAAUAGGCUUUGUAUUUGACGGUACCACCAAAGGAAGCACCGGCUAACUCCGUGCCAGCAGCCGCCGUAA
rnacentral:rRNA from 1 species